UCUCCCCCAAAUUCUUUCCCUCCCCCCUCUCCUACCAAGCAGCGCCGGUCACCACCAAGCAGUGUAGCCGCCGCCGCCUCCGCCGCCAUCCAGUGCCUCCGCCCACCACCAUGCAGUGCCGCCGCCCACCAUCCGGCCGAUGUCUCUCCACCUUACGCGGUUUGGUCACCUCCGCCCACCGAACGACGCCCACCCACCACUACACCACCGUCUCUGCUUAGUGAUGGAUUCAUUUGGUGAUAAGUGGGAUGAGGAAUGCUCUACCAUUGGAGACAAAGGAGAAAUCAGUUUUAUUGAUUAUGGGAAUGACAAAUCUGUAUAUAGUUACAACACAAUUGAAGAGGGUCCUAUUGUUAUUUCUGCCCCAUUUGCUUUCGUGGGGGGAAAGCCUCAAUCAGUAACCGUAGGAGAAACUGCUGCAGUUCUUGAUGCAAUUCUGUGAUGCAGUUCUUGAAAACAGGGUCUCCCCAAGCACUUUUGUGAUGCACAUUUGCCUAAGCAUGAUACCAAAAUUGUUUUGGAAGAUGAAGGUGGGGAAGAAUUUGAAACAAAAUAUCUUUGGGACCAAGUGCUGGAUGGAGAGGGUUUUCUAUAGCUCACGAGUUACUGGUGGGAGAUAUCGUGAUUUUCCAUUUAGUCAAGCCUUCCAAGUUUAAGGUAUACAUUGUGAGAUCUAGUAGUUCAGAUGAAGUGGAUGGUGCUCUUGCCUUCUUAAAAUUGGAUACUUGCAUGAAACAAAUGAAUUGGCAAUACGAAAACCAAUGCUUGUGAAGAGUCGGUAAAUGACGGUUUGGAGCCUCUUUCUCAAGAAAAUACUAUGGAUAGAAGCUAGACUUGAACGAGAUCAUGCAGAAGAGGAGAAGCAAACUCUGGAGGCAAAGCUUUUGGAAAUAGAAGAGAGAAUGAAUAGCCUUGAUGCCGAGAUUGAGAAUCUGGAUCCUACUGCUGAGAGGCUUGAGCUUAUGUUUGAAGAACUGGCUAAUGCCCCAUGGUAAUGAGGAACUAUUGUCAUUGGUUCACAGCUUUUGUGUAAAGCAUAGGAACUAUUCCAGGACCAGGAAUAUGUCGAUGCUUGGUAGUGAAAGAGCGGUUUUGUUUUACUGGUAUAUAGCUUUUUUGGUGAAGUUUCUCUCACAUAAAUUGAUAGUUUCACAAACACUUUUUAUCAGCACUAUAACUAUCUUUUUGUAAGUUAUGGUGAUUAAUGAUAGGGAUGGAAGACUGGAAAAACUCAUACAACUGUUAGCAAUAGCCAGAGGAGUUAUUAUUGUAUCUAUUGGCUCUCUCUUUUGUAAGCCUUUCGACGAUUACCUGGUAUAAAAGCUGUAAUUAUUAGACAA